AUUGAACGCUGGCGGAAUGCUUUACACAUGCAAGUCGAGCGGCAGCGCGGGGGCAACCCUGGCGGCGAGCGGCGAACGGGUGAGUAAUACAUCGGAACGUGUCCUUGAGUGGGGGAUAGCUCGGCGAAAGCCGGAUUAAUACCGCAUAAGCUCUGCGGAGGAAAGCGGGGGACUGGUAACGGCCUCGCGCUGUUGGAGCGGCCGAUGUCGGAUUAGCUAGUUGGUGGGGUAAAGGCCCACCAAGGCGACGAUCCGUAGCUGGUCUGAGAGGAUGAUCAGCCAC
rnacentral:rRNA from 1 species